rnacentral:rRNA from 1 species
GACGAACGCUGGCGGCGUGCUUAACACAUGCAAGUCGAACGGAAAGGCCCUGCUUUUGUGGGGUGCUCGAGUGGCGAACGGGUGAGUAACACGUGAGUAACCUGCCCUUGACUUUGGGAUAACUUCAGGAAACUGGGGCUAAUACCGGAUAGGAGCUCCUGCUGCAUGGUGGGGGUUGGAAAGUUUCGGCGGUUGGGGAUGGACUCGCGGCUUAUCAGCUUGUUGGUGGGGUAGUGGCUUACCAAGGCUUUGACGGGUAGCCGGCCUGAGAGGGUUACCGGCCACAUUGGGACUGAGAUACGGCCCAGACUCCUACGGGAUGCAGCAGUGGGGAAUAUUGCACAAUGGGCGGAAGCCUGAUGCAGCAACGCCGCGUGCGGGAUAACGGCCUUCGGGUGGUAAACCGCUUUCGCCUGUGACGAAGCGUGAGUGACGGUAAUGGGUAAAGAAGCACCGGCUAACUACGUG